rnacentral:rRNA from 1 species
GUAUCCGGGCCCUAAGUCUCUUGGGGAAUCUGGCAGCUUUGUGUCAGGCUUUCAGGAGAUGCUGUAUGGCUCGACUCCGGGAGAGGUGAGAGGUACUAGGGGUAGUGGUGGUCUUUGUAAUCCGUGAAGGACCGCUCUGCUGGAAGGCUGCUCUCCAGUGACGGACCUGACGACAAGGUACUGAAGCUAGGGGCUCGAGCCGGAUUAGAUACCCGGGUAGUCCUAUCCGUAACGGAUACUCGGUAGGUGUCGGCCACUGAUGGACCGUUGUCGGUGCCGUA